rnacentral:rRNA from 1 species
UGAUGGAGGGGGAUAACUACUGGAAACGGUAGCUAAUACCGCAUAAUGUCGCAAGACCAAAGUGGGGGACCUUCGGGCCUCAUGCCAUCAGAUGUGCCCAGAUGGGAUUAGCUAGUAGGUGGGGUAACGGCUCACCUAGGCGACGAUCCCUAGCUGGUCUGAGAGGAUGACCAGCCACACUGGAACUGAGACACGGUCCAGACUCCUACGGGAGGCAGCAGUGGGGAAUAUUGCACAAUGGGCGCAAGCCUGAUG